AGAGUUUGAUCAUGGCUCAGAUUGAACGCUGGCGGCAGGCCUAACACAUGCAAGUCGAGCGGAAACGGCAGUAUUGAAGCUUCGGUGGAUUUACUGGACGUCGAGCGGCGGACGGGUGAGUAACGGCUGGGAACCUGCCCUGACGAGGGGGAUAACCGUUGGAAACGACGGCUAAUACCGCAUAAUGUCUUAGUUCAUUACGAGCUGGGACCAAAGGUGGCCUCUACAUGUAAGCUAUCGCGUUGGGAUGGGCCCAGUUAGGAUUAGCUAGUUGGUAAGGUAAUGGCUUACCAAGGCAACGAUCCUUAGCUGGUUUGAGAGGAUGAUCAGCCACACUGGGACUGAGACACGGCCCAGACUCCUACGGGAGGCAGCAGUGGGGAAUAUUGCACAAUGGGGGAGACCCUGAUGCAGCCAUGCCGCGUGUGUGAAGAAGGCCUUCGGGUUGUAAAGCACUUUCAGCAGUGAGGAAGGUCGUGUACUUAAUACGUGCACGGCUUGACGUUAGCUGCAGAAGAAGCACCGGCUAACUCCGUGCCAGCAGCCGCGGUAAUACGGAGGGUGCGAGCGUUAAUCGGAAUUACUGGGCGUAAAGCGCAUGCAGGCGGUUUGUUAAGUCAGAUGUGAAAGCCCGGGGCUCAACCUCGGAACCGCAUUUGAAACUGGCAGGCUAGAGUCUUGUAGAGGGGGGUAGAAUUUCAGGUGUAGCGGUGAAAUGCGUAGAGAUCUGAAGGAAUACCAGUGGCGAAGGCGGCCCCCUGGACAAAGACUGACGCUCAGAUGCGAAAGCGUGGGUAGCAAACAGGAUUAGAUACCCUGGUAGUCCACGCCGUAAACGCUGUCUACUUGGAGGUUGAGGUUUUAGACUUUGGCUUUCGGCGCUAACGCAUUAAGUAGACCGCCUGGGGAGUACGGCCGCAAGGUUAAAACUCAAAUGAAUUGACGGGGGCCCGCACAAGCGGU
rnacentral:rRNA from 1 species